GCUUGCUUCUUGAUUCAGAUUUUGGUGAGUGGCGGACGGGUGAGUAACACGUGGGUAACCUGCCCAAAAGUGGGGGAUAACAUUUGGAAACAAGUGCUAAUACCGCAUAACAACUGCUUUCACAUGAUCGCAGCUUGAAAGAUGGCUCUGCUAUCGCUUUUGGAUGGACCCGCGGCGUAUUAGCUAGUUGGUGAGGUAAUAGCUCACCAAGGCAAUGAUACGUAGCCGACCUGAGAGGGUAAUCGGCCACAUUGGGACUGAGACACGGCCCAAACUCCUACGGGAGGCAGCAGUAGGGAAUCUUCCACAAUGGGCGAAAGCCUGAUGGAGCAAUGCCGCGUGAGUGAAGAAGGUUUUCGGAUCGUAAAACUCUGUUGUUGAAGAAGAACAUGCGUGAGAGUAACUGUUCACGUACUGACGGUAUUCAACCAGAAAGCCACGGCUAACUACGUGCCAGCAGCCGCGGUAAUACGUAGGUG
rnacentral:rRNA from 1 species